AACCGGUAAAUACCGGUACCGAACCGGUACCGUACCAGACCGGUACCGAACCGGUACCAAAAAUGUUAAAAGUCGGUACCGAAUCGGUACCGAAAAGGUACCCGGUUCGGUAAAUUCGGUACCGGGUCCAUUUUGCUCAUCCCUUCGAGGUCUCGGGUUUGAAACAUGUUUCUUACCCCUCUUUGAUGGCUAUGGGUAUUUGCCGCCAGGGAUCCUUGUCGGGUGGUGAACUGGGAAGGGAGAUCCCUUCCGCGGUCAGGGGUACCGUGCAACUACCCUUUUUUUUUUUAGUUUUGGUGGAAAAUGGACCUAGAAUCUUUGGUAAGAAAUUCUGAUUUGUUAGGUUUCAUGGCUAUCAAUUUUGUAUACCCUUUAGCAAAUUUGGAAAUUCGAUAGUAUUAAUAACUGCUCAAAGUCAGAACACAUCUUCUGAAAUCCGUAUGGCUAAGUGUAGUGGUGAAAAUAGGCGGGUUGGUUAACGGGGCAUGGGUCCAGUUGACUUACAAACCAUCUUUUUGUCUACUUAAUUUGUUUUUCUAUACUAUAUAUAAUAUGCAUAUUGUUAUUUCUAGCAACUGAUGUUGAAAUUUUGGGGAGUGUAAUGAUGAUUCUGACAGCUUGAGUAGCAAUUUGCGAUGGCAACAAUGACUACCCGCGGCGGAGGUGAACUCCAGCCGCCAAACUGCGGUGGUCUAUGGUGGUGGUUGUAUACUCCGGCCGCCAAAAUCAUUUUGUGUUGAAGUAUAGCGGGAGAUCUCUGAACUCCAAGGUUACAGUGGAUGGACAAGGAAGAAUAGACUCCAGUUGCUGAUGAAAGUCAAGAUAGAGUUGAAUUUCUACUAAAGGAAGGCACGGGUAAAGAUACCACCGAACUAAUUGCUUCCGGAAGGGAGUAGUGGGCGUCAGUUUCGUUCCAUCUGGUGGUGGUGGUUGUGUUGUAGUUGCUGGUGGUGCUGCACUUGCUGCUGUUGCCGUAGUUGAGGCAAAGAAAGAGGAGAAGGUUGAAGAGAAGAGGAAUAUGAUGUUUGCAACUUGGGUUUUAGAGGUGAACCAGCUCUCUCAAGAGUUUAUGGAUCCAAAUCUUGUUAAGGUCAUAGUGGGCUGUUGCCGAAGCAAGCACUUUUUAGUAUAGUCAAAACUAGCCGUCCCAACCUAUAACCGCUUUUUUAAUCAUUUUCCUUGUGCAAAGUUAAUAAUUACCAGCGGAAAAGGUCAAGUCUUGGCAGCGGGAACAGCAGGUCAAUGAAGUUCAUGAUCGUCUUUUUUUCACUCUUAUUUUAGGGUGAUGCUCAAUAACUUCAUGGUACCGUACCGGAACAACCAAAAAUAUCAGAAAUCAAGUCGGUACCAAAUCGGUACCGAAAAUGUAUCCAGUUUGGUAAAUUCGGUACCAGUGCUGUUCGAAACCAGUACCCGGUACCAUGUGUCAUCCCUAUUCUAAAUGCAUAUUACACCUGUUGAACUAGAGUGAAACUUUGGUAUGACAUUCAUCCUUUACAAUUUCAUAUCGUUAGUGGCAUGCAGCUACGGUGCAUUGGAAUAUGACUGAUGAAAAACAAAACAGUUUCAUAUUGCUCAAUCAUUCUGAUAACAUUGUACUGAUAAUCUUGAACAUAUAAUCAGAGAUCUCGAACAGGUGUAUUGGUAAUCGACAAGUUUUCAGAGUGUGGGCUUCGUUCUCUUGGAGUUUCUUGCCAGGAAGUGCCGGCUGGAAAGAAAGAGAGCAUGGGUGAAUUGUGGGAGUUCAUCCGCCUUCUUCCUUUAUUCAACCCUCCACAACAUGACAGUUCUGAAACUAUCAUACGAGGCCUUUGGCUGAUGUGGACUACCUUCAUAAAAUUACUCGUAGAUGUGUUUGUAUAGAAUUUAUUUUAUGUCAUAAAAUCGUAGAUGCGUUUGUACAAGAUUUUGUUUGUUUUCUAUAUAGAAGAGCUAUACAAUAUAAUGGGCGAAACUUCAUUGGGGAAAGGGGCGUCCCCUUUU